AGACCCGCGCGGGCGGCCGUUGGCCGGGCUGCGCGUUCCCGCGCCUGCCGAGGGGAGGGUGGCGCGCGCUGCCCCUUACCGGCCAUCACGCGCUUUAAUCUCAGGUUAGUCUGGUGCCAGUGGAACGGGCCAGUCCCGGCAGGACCACCCCACGGAUGGGCCUCAGGCAGCCCCGCUUGGAGGCGGGCGAGAAGCAUCCGGCCCUUCUGCAGGAGGAGGAAGAGAAGAGUUUGAAAAUAGUCCCUCCUUAAAGCUAAAAGCUUAUAUGGAUAAAACUGUGCCUACUAAACAAUGGCAUCUUAUAGUAAAAAAUCCAUGGCAAAUGUGCAGCUGCUUAAUGACAGUGACUGCUAAUAAGAGCAGUGUUCUCAACGAAAAUAUACGCUGGCUGCUUCUAGCAAGAUCUGCACAUUCUGCAGGAAAGUGUUGAUCUUUUCCAUGGAGUCCCCACUACUGCUGAAAAUGUCACUGAA